ensembl:lncRNA
UACUACAUGUAUUUGUACUAAAAAGUUAUACAAAGAAUGUAUACUUGUGUAUAAGUAUAAUAUGUUAGUUUUUUUUUUUUUUGGCCUAGUGGUUAGAGAGUUUGACUCCUAACCCUAAGGUUGUGGGUUUGAGUCUCGGGCCAGCAAUACCACGACUGAGGUGCCCUUGAGUAAGUUUAUUGUUACCAUUUUAAGAUUUGCUGAAUUUUACUGAUGUUUUAUGGUGUGUCAAUAAAAAAUAAAAAACCUGGGUGAAAAGAGUAAACAUGCAAAGUAAACAUUGCAAAGACAGUUAAACAAACAAAAAACUAAUCAUGCAAGUUAAAGUCUCAAUGUGUUUCUCUUUUUCAGUGAUUUGCAGCUCUCUUGUUGAUGCUAGUCAAGUGAAAUUUGGCCCCCUCUGCAGUGGUAACUCAAGUAACCGCAAAAGAGGAUGUGAUAAAACUAUGGAGCAAGCCGGUAAUUUUUUUUCUUUUCUUAUUCUGACUCCCCUUAUAUAGAGCAAACAAAACUCUCAAACAAAUUUAGUUUUCUCUGUCCUCUCCUCCUAGCUCUUCUCAGAAUACAUCGAUGACAAAUUUAGUGGAGGCAGUGUUAUGAUAUAUUAAUAUCAUUCUUUUGUUUUGAGUGUGUUACCACAGACUUGACACUACCCAACAGCCCAGCGUUAUCAAAGAUCUUCUGCGCCAUAGACAACAUACUUAUAAAAUCCAUCAUCAUUUACACACCUUCAUUUAGUUUUAAAUCCAUAUCUUCAUUUUUUUGAAACAUAAGAUAUUUUCCAAACAGACCAGUUCGUUUUUUUUUCAUACAGUGGAAAAUUAUGUGUAAUAACAUUAUUAUUCACAACAACACAACAAAGAAACUGUCACAAGAGCAAAUAAUAUUUGAUGACACAACUCAGAUCUAGCUUGAUGCAUCCUGUUUGAUUAUACAUUAAGAUUUGGAAAAGUUUUGAUCAUGUUGAGUAAAUGAUGACAGCAUAAUCAUUUUAUAAUUUAUUAAUUUAAGGAGAACACAAGGGCAGGUUUCAUUUGCUUUUUGCAAACAUUAAUUGGUAAACUGAAAUGUCCCCACUUACAUGCAAACUGUCAAAGGGUUUAGACUAAUAAAGUAGCACUAUACUACA